AGCCGACCGCAAGGGGGCAGCGGCCCAAGGUAUGAUUCAUGAUUGGGGUG
rnacentral:rRNA from 1 species